AACGAACGCUGGCGGCAUGCCUAACACAUGCAAGUCGAACGAGACCUUCGGGCCUAGUGGCGCACGGGUGCGUAACGCGUGGGAACCUGCCCUUAGGUUCGGUAUAACUCCCUGAAGGGGGUGCUAAUACCGGAUAAUGUCUUAGCACCAAAGAUUUAUUGCCGUUGGAUGGGCGCGGGUUGGAUUCGCUGGUUGGUAGGGUACAAGCCUGCCAUGGCCACGAUGCAUAGCUGGUCUGUGAGGAUGACCAGGCACGCUGGGGCUGAGACACGGCCCAGACUCCUACGGAAGGCAGCAGUGGGGAAUAUUGGACGAUGGGCGAAGGCCUAAUCCAGCAGUGCCGCGUGUGUGAUGAAGGCGUUAGGAUUGUAAAGCUCUUUUACCCGGGAUGAUAAUGACAGUACCGGGAGAAUAAGCUCCGGCUAACUCCGUG
rnacentral:rRNA from 1 species